rnacentral:rRNA from 1 species
GCAACGAGCGCAACCCUUGUCAUUAGUUGCUACAGUUCAGUUGGGCAACUCUAAUGAGACUGCCGGUGACGAAGCCGGAGGAAGGUGGGGAUGACGUCAAGUCCUCAUGGCCCUUAUAGGUGGGGCUACACACGUCAUACAAUGGCUAGUACAAGGUGCAACCCGCGAGGGGGGACGACCAAUCCCAUAAAGCCAGUCGUAGUCCGGAUCGUAGUCUGCAACUCGACUACGUGAAGUCGGAAUCGCUAGUAAUCGUGGAUCAGAAUGUCACGGUGAAUACGUUCCCGGGUCUU